CGAAAGGAAAUGAGACCGGGACGCUCCGUGCUUCUCGGCCCGCCGCCCUUCCUGUCUCGGGGACACGGUUUCUAAAUAAGUAUUCAUCAGUCAAGCCAUUUAACAAAUCUUCAGUGAUGGGUUAUUGUGUACUUGUCACUCCCAUGGAAGGAGGUAUGCGGACAUAUAAAAGGUGGUCCCUGCUUUCAAGGAGCUUGCGGUCGCAUUGGAGGAGAUUAAGACAUGAGACCAAGCAUGGAACAGGAGGAAAGUGAUUAAGAACCCGAAAUCUAAAGUCAGACUGCCUGAAUUCAAAUACCAGCUCUAUCACCCACCAGCUCUACAAUGUGGAGCCAGUUACUUAAACUCCAAGCACCUCAAUCUUCUCAUCUGCAAAAUGGGAGCACUGAUGUACACAUACCUCAAACGGUUGUGAUGAUUAAAUUAGUUAAUAUAUGUAAAGCACUUAGAACUGUUCUUAGAAGCUUACAGUAAGUGCUGUGUAAGUAUGGGCUGUUAAUAUUUAAUCAUCGUAGAUUUAUAUUGUUUUAAAAUCUGAUAGAGCUAAGCCCUAUUUUCCUACUUUUAAAAUUUGCUUAUUUUUCAAAAAUUUCUUGGGUAGUUUCACCUACUUGUUUUUCAGGAUGAAAUUUCAGUUAUGCUUCUAAAAGGAUUUCUCAUGAGAAUGUUUUUGGCCUUGCCCCAUCUACUUUUAUGCCGGCUCUACAAGGCUGUUUAGCAUCAUGAAAGGCAAGAAGUAAAGCAUCAGAUACACCUGGGUUUGUAUGCUUCUCAGUUCGGCCACUUUGUGGCUGUCCGACCAUGGUCAAGACUUCCCUGAGAUUUACUUUCUUUAUCUCUAAAAUAAAGUAAGAGUGGUAAUAACAGAACCUGCCAUAACCCAAAUCUUGAUCAACUGCUACAUGGAUAAACAAAAUGUGAUACAUCCAUACAAUGGAACAUUAUUUGGUCAUAAAAAGGAAUCAAGUAUGAUAUAUGCUACAUCGUGGAUGACCCUGGAAAACAUCAUGCUAAGUGAAAGAAGCCAGUCUCCAAAGACCACAUAUUUUAUGAUUCCAUUUAUAUGAAAUUUACAGAAUAGGCAAAUCUAUAGAGACAGAAAGUAGAUUCAUGUUUGCUUAGAGCUUGAGAAGAUGGGGAAACUGGAUGGUGAUAACUAAAGGAUACCAGGUUUCUCGUUAAAUCUCAUACGAUUUGAACUGAUUGAUGGUACCAAGAUUGUAUGCCUACACCCUUGUUGCAAGGGAGACUGACUACUACAUUGGAAAAUUUACCAUUUAAAUAUGAGAAUUUCCGCUAACAUAGAAAGGGCAUUCAAAAGACAAUGAGCAGUCUUGAUUAUAAUCCUAUGCCUACUAUAAGAAUAGAGAUCGACUCUCAGAAAACCCAAAAUCUAAGAGAUGCACCAAGGAAGAGGAUCCAGAGAAGAAUAUAGAGAAGGAAGGAUGAUAUAGAUGAAAAGAAAAUACACAAAGAAAAAUAAUGGAAGGAAAUGGAUUAAAGAAUUUCCAGAAGGAGGGAGUAGUGAUCAAAAGUGUUAGUAUUAUACAGAAGUCAAAUCAAAUAAAGGCUGAGAAUUACCCAUUGGCUUUAGCCACUAGCAGGUCAUCCAUAUCUUUAGUAAGAGAAGUUUAACUAAUUUGAUGAGGAGGAAUCCUAAUUUCAGUGGACUGAAAAGGAAAUAGAAGAUGAUGAUAUAAAGACAUAUACUUUCUCAAGACUUGAGGAUCUAGUUACAACAUGUGGAUGUUGUAAUAAAUAUCGUAUUUAAUCCUUGUAAGGCCUUGUGAAUUAGGGACUGUUAUUACCCCUAUAUUACAGAUGCAAGGAGGCUUUGAGACCCAAGGUUAUGUGAGGGGCAGAUCUGGGUCUUACAGUCAGACUUGUCUGACAUUAGAGUCAGAAAGAACUCUUAGGCACCAGAUCACACUGCAAACAUUUUAUAGGGCAAUUGUUUUAGGGCAAGUCCCAAAAUCACAGAUUCUCAAAAUAAGAAGGAAUUUGAACUCUGAUUCACUUCUUGGUUCCACUUCAGUGUUUCUUUCUCAGAUCCUUAAAGGCAGAAUAUGUCUCUACCACAUCCUCCCAUCAUGCUGUUUAUUCCUCUGUUACAUUUGUUUUUGAUCAUCUCUCCUUCUUCUGUUAAUAGAAGUCUAUUAUCUUUAUCUCUGAAGAAUCACCCAUUCUCUCAACCUUGGUCCACUUGCUUUGGCAAGUGCUGACUCCAUUCAUGUCUCUAGGGCUGGACAAGUCACUCAGUCUUGACUGUUAGAACAUAGCAUCCCUCUGAUCACUGUGAUAAAUUUAGGAAUAAGCUUGUGAACAAAUUCAAGUCACUGAAAAUUGCAUCCAAGACUUACAUCAUACUGUUGUGGAAGAAAAGUCCUAUUUUCUGUUGACUUGAAUCUUGGAGGAUAUAGACCUGGAGCUGUGGGAAGCCAUCUUCCCUUCACAUAGAAUCUGGGAGUGAAGCCUAAGGUUGGGAGAGCAGAUCCAGAAGGUGGAGAGAGUUGGGGUCCCAGUGAGCCCUUGGAUGAAGCCCCUUUUACGGCCAGCACCCCUGUACUUUUCUUUACAUGAGCUAAUAAUUUUUGUUUGUUUAAGUCAAUUUGAAUGGGAGGAUCUCCAAUUCGAUACCAAGAAAGACCUAAUGCAUAGCUUAUGACUGCCUGCAUGGUAUUUUCUCCCCCAGUAGAAUGUUAGCCAUAGAGUGCCCUAAUCCUCCCUUUUUUCUCUUUGUGCUCCACCCCCACCAAUGUCUAGGAUGAUGCAUUAUGUGUAGCAAGUGCUCAGUAAAUACCUGAUGGGCUCAGUAGAAUUGAGUGUAGACUGUUUCUGCAACAUUCCCUAAAAGUUGCUUCAGAAAAGCUUCCUGUCUAUAAGCUUGCUGACUGUCACUUUUGUCUCUUAAUCACAAGAAUAAUCUGCAGAAGAAGUCCCAAAUAUUUGAUCUUUCUGUUUGUUUGAAUUCACAUGAAACUAGAAUUUAGUGUAAACAUAUACUUGGCAUGUUCACUACAUGCUCCAACAAAACAGCUUGAAAGAUGCAGAGUGAAUUGUUCUAUCAGUGGCUCAAUAGACUAAAAUGUUCACUUUCUGUCCUUUGUGAAAAACUGGUUUUUCUCUGGCGCUUGAUUCCUUUCACACAAAGAGGCUGACAUCCUCUCAGGAUAAAAAAGGGGUAGAGAGUUAAGAUGUUUUUCUGUUAUUACUGUGAAAACUUGGCAGCAAUUCUUUACCAAAAUGGCCAUGAGCUGUUGCUGUUCUGUAGUUUAGGAGCAUUGCCCUUCUAGGUUCAUUAAACGAGAAGGAUACAGACAGAAGGAAAUACUUUCAGCACACAUUGAGGAGCGCUGCUAAAUGACGUGUCAUAGCUAUGGACUGCUGGAAAAUUCUGAUUUACUCGUAUUAAUAACUGCUGAGAUUGUUGUUUCACACUGAUAUAGGUAAGGAGACUCUUCUACCCUAUCUUUAUAACAAAAAACAUUGGAAGAAUUAUAGUGAGUUGAUCAUAUUAAUAUUCUAAUUCAUCAUAGCACUCCCAGGACACAGCAUGUUGUUGUAGGCCUCUUUGCCUUUGAAAAUGCCAGUCACUUUGCCUAGAAAACCCCUACGCAUCCUUUAAGAAUCUACUUAUGUGUCACAUCUGUGAAGCCCUCAGUCACUUCUUCAAAGGAUUAAUUCCUCCA